rnacentral:rRNA from 1 species
AUUGAACGCUGGCGGCAUGCCUUACACAUGCAAGUCGAACGGUAACAGGUCUUCGGAUGCUGACGAGUGGCGAACGGGUGAGUAAUACAUCGGAACGUGCCCGGUCGUGGGGGAUAACGCAGCGAAAGCUGCGCUAAUACCGCAUACGAUCUGAGGAUGAAAGCGGGGGACCGUAAGGCCUCGCGCGAUCGGAGCGGCCGAUGUCAGAUUAGGUAGUUGAUGGGGUAAAGGCUCACCAAGCCAACGAUCUGUAGCUGGUCUGAGAGGACGACCAGCCACACUGGGACUGAGACACGGCCCAGACUCCUACGGGAGGCAGCAGUGGGGAAUUUUGGACAAUGGGCGAAAGCCUGAUCCAGCAAUGCCGCGUGCAGGAAGAAGGCCUUCGGGUUGUAAACUGCUUUUGUACGGAGCGAAAAGGUCUCCUCUAAUACAGGGGGCUCAUGACGGUACCGUAAGAAUAAGCACCGGCUAACUACGUGCCAGCCGCCGCAGUAA